GUUUGGCUUGGGUAAAAAAAAAGAAAAUCAUUCUCGACCGAAGGAGAAAAAAAAAGAGCUCUCGAGAGAAAGGCGACAACACGGCGAUAUCUCUCCCUCGGCUUGACCAAGGUAAACGAAUAUGGGACACGAUUACAGUUACAGCCAGCCAUCUUCAUCAUCAAACUCUGUAGACAUAACCUCCCUCCUUGAAGCAGAAGGUCAGAUGUACGCGGAUGAAGCUGAGAGUAGCUACUUCAAUGCAGAGGCGAUUGAGUACCAACCUCAACCAGAGGCGGAUGAUGGAAGAAGAGUGGCAGAGAACAGGAGUUGUCAAAGUUACAAGGCGUUUUAGAACUCAAAGAAAAACUGUCUAGGCAAAAGCUCCUUGAUCGUUUAUUCGCGAAAAAAGGAGCCUCUCUCUGAGAUGGAAACAACUCUAAAACUCAAACUAAUGUCUGAAUUGAUUUGAUGUUUAUCUGUUCGGUUUAAGGUUAAGGCUGAAGUUGUCACGGGUGCAUUGAAGCUUGGGAAAGUCACGGGUGCAUUAGGAGUAGGGAAAGUCACGGGUGCAUUAGGAGUACUGAAAGUCACGGGUUCAUCUCUUUCAGUUUAUGUAGUAUAAGUAGUUCUCAUUUGGUUUUUAGCUAUGUAUCAUCUUCUCUUUGUUUCCUCUUCAUCAAAACUUGACUUAUGUUCUUGUGUUUUCUCGGAGAUGUUGUAAGAUGUUGCUACCAUGAUCUUCUAAAGAUCACAAAACCUGACUGAUCUCUUGUAAUAUUUGCGUGUAAGAAGUUCUUCUCUUGAUUCUCUUUGUAUCAAUAUUAAGACUUGCUAGAAUGUUAUAGUAAAAAGGAUGUUCUCUUGAUUCUCUUUGUAUCAAUAUUAAGACUUGCUAGAAUGUUAUUGUAAAAAGGAUGUUCUCUUGAUUUGAACUCAACACUUGGUAGAAUAUUAAGACUUGCUAUAAUGUUAUAGUAAAAAGGAUAUUAAGACUUCAAAAUAUUAAGACUUCUCUUGCUUCCGAUUGAAACCAAACGAAUACACACAUAAUUUUAAGCGUAGGACUAUUGAUUAUGUUAACAUAAAUUUGGAAUUAAAAUUUUGAACUUAUACAUAAAAAUAACUUAUACAUAAUUUGAGAUUAUACAUAAAAAUUAACUUAUACAAAAAAAAACUUAGACAUUAUUUUCUCAAGCAGGAUGUCAUCAUCUUCAUCCGAUGAAUUGGAAGAAAGAUUAGACGAAGUUUUCGACGAUAUCUGCGAAGAUAC